ensembl:lncRNA
CCCUGAGUCAGAGCAUUCAAUGUCCAGAUACCCAGAGCAUCAAGAAAGGGAGUGGGGGGGCGCCUGGGUGGCGCAGUCGGUUAAGCGUCCGACUUCAGCCAGGUCACGAUCUCGCGGUCCGGGAGUUCGAGCCCCGCGUCGGGCUCUGGGCUGAUGGCUCAGAACCUGGAGCCUGUUUCCGAUUCUGUGUCUCCCUCUCUCUCUGCCCCUCCCCCGUUCAUGCUCUGUCUCUCUCUCUCUGUCCCAAAAAUAAAUAAAUGUUGAAAAAAAAAAAUAAGAAAGGGAGUGGGAUAGGCCCAGUGCCCCCUGAGACACACACACACAGCAUGAGCAGAAAGUUGGGACAGCCAGGAUGGGUUGCUGGAUGCCAUACAUGAGGUGAAUCAGCUCAAUAAAAUUAGAUGUGUUUAUGUGAGGCAGGAGCCACGAGAUAACGAGCAGAAGAUGAGGGUGACAUAAAUGGGUGGGGAGGCCUCACCAGCCCAUCCUGAGCAAGCAGGGUUAGCGUCACCUUUGGAGCUGGGGGUUCUCAAAUGGGGCACAUAUUAGAAUCAACUGUGGAGUUUUGACACACAUGCUCGAGCCCCAACCCAGAGGUUCCAGCGAUUUCAUUGGUCUAGAGAAUAGCCCGCUCACCCAGGCUUUUCAGAGCUACGCACGUGUCUCCCACCCCCAACUCUUGUUCCCCUAGCGAGGCUGCAAAUGGCAGAUCGUUUCUGGGUCCCGAACUCCCAGAAGUCUGACUGGAAGCAAGGGCUAUCAAACACCCGCUUGGCUCGGACAGGCGGCACUGCUCGUUUGUCUGCGCCGCCGUUUCCUGGGCGACCACGCAAGUCCACGCCUCGCCUACUGGGUGUGGAUGGCCGCGGUUGCCAUGACAGCUGGGAGUCCUGGGGUUGGACAGCCGGGGCGGCGGGACUACGUUUCCCUACAGCCCCCGCGAGGGCUCCGGCUCUCCGGCGGAGGCACAGUGCCGCGACGGACCGUAGGCAGAGGGAAGAAGGCUUCGUGCUGCGUGCGAGGCGGGGACCAGGGCACCCGUGCGGGCCGCCCCUCAAGCUGACCUCCUCCCGGCGCUCCUGGUUCCCGCUUCCGAGCCUUUGCAUGUGCCUUCUGCACGCCAGCAUCCGACCUCCACUCUCACUUGCCCGGUGUGAUCCAAGCCCAGAACUUCCUGAGACCAAAACCCCCUUUGGACGUCUCCUGCUCAGUGUCCCUCCCCUUCUCCCACUUUGUAUUUUUUCACCCAGUCCCCAGUAG